GGAAUUUUGCGCAAUGGGCGAAAGCCUGACGCAGUAACGCCGCGUGGAGGAUGAAGGCCUUCGGGUCGUAAACUCCUGUCAGAAGGAAUGCAGAUUAGCAGGAGACAACACUGGCUAAUCUGACAGUCCCUUCAAAGGAAGCACCGGCUAAUUCCGUUCCAGCAGCCGCGGUAAUACGGAAGGGGCCAGCGUUGUUCGGAAUUAUGGGGCGUAAAGGGCGCGCAGGUGGUCUUAUAUGUCUGCUGUGAAAGGGUACGGCUCAACCGUGCUUAGCCGGUAGAAACUGUAGGACUUGAGGCUGGGAGGGGCUAGUGGAAUUCCCCGUGUAGCGGUGAAAUGCGUAGAGAUGGGGGAGAACACUCGUGGCGAAGGCGGCUAGCUGGACCAGUCCUGACACUGAGGCGCGACAGCGUGGGGAGCAAAC
rnacentral:rRNA from 1 species